GUAAGGCCCGGGCUGCGCCGCGGCUCCGAGUUCCCAAAGUUUGCUUCGCCCCAUCCAGUUACCGCGCGCGGCGGGCGCAGCGCGGACGGAGGACGCGUGAGGUCAGUGUACCGGGUCGCGGCGGGGCCUGAGAGCGGCAGCGCGGGCUCGGGCUCGCCUGCACGGAGUCGCCACGCUCGGAGUGGGCGAGGGCCCGCUGCCCGGCCGCGCGGCCCCGCCGGCGGCCCGGAUCUGCGGAUACACCCUGCGCGGCCCCUGACCAGCCGCCUCCCCCGAGGCCCUGAAAGCGCCCCGGCCCCGCGUGACCGGCAUCCGCGUGAGCCCCACGGUGACGCGCUAAGGUGUGGGUCAGCCCGGCGCUAGCUGAUGGAGCCCCACGCCGGGCGGCGAGUAGGGCCCGGUGCCACCGUCAGGGCAGCUCUGCAAGGUGUGAAGAGGCGCCCGGUGGACCGGUGGCCUGAGACUCGGAACCAAGCAGAAGCCCAAUUGCGGAUCGAUUGCCACUGGUGUUGUUACCCUAGAGGCUGUGGGAAUACAGGACACGGACCUUUUCGGUGAAAAUGCAUCCAAUGAUAAAGUCCCUCCCCUAAGAGCCAACAAAUGAAGGUCCGAAGUACCACGAAAAGCAGGGUUAUCUGCGCUUGUGUGGUGGAAUGAAUAAGCAGACAGAACUACAGAUUUUUAGCUCCUUCAUUCCCAGUUCAUUAGGAUUAAAUCGGUGUGCUUAGAAUUUUGGAAUCAGAGGUGUUUGAUAGUACGGUUUUCCAAGAUCUUUUACAGAAUUGGCUAGCUUUUUAUGUCACCCAAAAGGAAUUGCCCACUGGAAUUAAAAUAGCAUAACAGUGUUGCUUUUGGCAUUUGACACGGUUAAAUAUGCAAACCAAAAGAGAAACAAAUAAAUCUCAACUAAAUAUUCAGCUUGAAAGCUGAAGCAAAAACGUCAGGAAAUGUAAGGAAAGACUGAUAAAAUAACCAGAAUGCCUUAGUAGAAACAGCGUAUUAGCUUAUCUACAUUUAUAAAUGUAUAUUAAUUACAGUCAAUGUGAAUCAAAUAAACGAAGGAGUACUGUUACAUUUUGUAUUUUCUCAUCAUUUUUAAUGAGAAUAUGAACAAUAUUAAGGUCCAAUUUUCCUUUUUUUGUUUUUUAGUUUAACUCAUUAUGGUUGUAAAAUAAAAAGACAGCAAAACCUAUAAGCAAUUAUCUCUGUCCAAUUGGAUAUUGCUACUCCAAACCACAGCUACAUGACUAUCAACCAAUGAUUGUGAAAACCACAGUGGAGAGGGGCAUCGGGGAACGAUAUUGCAAAACCACAGCAAGGACUGAGUCUGUGAUACUGAAAGCCACAAUUCACAACUAAUGCCCUGUGUGUUGCAAAUUACCGUUUAACUAUAAAUGCGGAAAUGUAAAAGUAACAGCACAAAAUCAUUUCUCAUUUACUUAAAAAUGAAUUAUUCAUUUUCUGGACUUGCUGGUUUAAUGUCUACCUAUGGUUUACAUGGAAAAGUUUCUGCUUUCAAAAAGCAAAUCCUUUGAAAUACCAAAGAAAAUAUCGGUCAAUUUAAAAACAGAAGACAUGCAACUUUUAAUCAUAUUUUGUGAAAUGUUAAAAAAUUGAUCUGAAAGAAAUAUAUACCUCUGAAUAGCUUUCUUCAUAAAGUUCUUUGGAAAUGAAAAGGUUUGUUAGUGGAAACUGUUUGGGGGCAAAGCUCAAAGUAUUCUAUUACAACUUUGAUGAAAAUAUCAUUACCCAUGUUCAUAAAUAGUCAUUUUUAGCUAGAAAACAUGUCUGACAAUGAAACAAGAUGCCAAUACCAAAACUUCUUUAAUAUGGGAAAUCAAGUGUUGGCUUACAAAUGAGUAAAAUGACAGCACUUGCUAUCUUCUAAGAUUGCUACAUUUUUCAAAUGAAUUUACAAAGUGCCCAGUUAAACGUGAAUUUCAAAAAAGGAAAACUAGUUCUUUAGGAUAAGUAUGUCCUAUAUACUCUUUGGGUGUAUACUUCUCCUAGAUAAUAAUUGGGGCUUAUCUGAAAUUCAGAUGUAACUGGGCAUCUUGUAUUUUAUCUGGCAAAUCUGUAAGUUCAGCAUUUUACCAUUUUCACAUACUUGUGGUUGUUAUAAUAUUGUUUAUAGAAAGGCAGAGAAACCCUAACAUGUUUCUUGCAGGCAUAAAUAUAUUUAAUUCUUGAAUGGUGUAUUAUUCAGAGAAGGCAAGGUAGAAGGAAUAAAUUUCUCUAAAAAAUUCUUACUUUAUUUGGCGCAGUAUAGAAAUGCACUCCCAGUGUAAAUGGGUUGCAUUCAUGUAUGUCUUACUCUUAGAUUUGUUUUUAAAAUGUGUUUUUUCCUCCAAGGGAUCAACAAAUUGAUAAAGCAACCUCUAAGGCCACAGCUUAUUAGACAGCAAGCUGCCUUCUUUAUUAUGGGAGUAAAUAAUAUCACAAAGCUUCAGAAAGACUUAAUUUUUGCCCUUGUAUCCACACCAGAAAUUGAACACAGUUUAUCUGCCUUGAUUUAAGAUUAUGAUGCUGAAUUGAACAAGAAUACUGUAUGAAAAUAGUGUUUAGUAUUUAUGGAUCUUUAUAAUUAAAACAUUUUAAAAAUAACAAUCAACAAAUUCAUCUAAAUCCCAUUCCUGUUUCAUAACUAUGAAAAACACUAUCUUCUCACUUGCAAAGGGGCCCAAGGCUUUGGAAAGAUUCAGUCCAUCCAGAUUGGGGCUUUCACUCAAGCUCCCUAUGGACUGUGAAGCCCUGGAAAGAAGUCUGUAUGUACAAAUAAUUUUCUACGGAGUGGCUCUAUGAAGUUCAUCAGCUUUCCAAAUUACAUGAAGAAGAUGCUGUGAACCAGUGUGGGUUAGGAAACACUGCUGUCUUUCCUGGUGAGUGUUCAUGAUAUGUUGAAAGCUCAAUUGUGGAUGGUUCCAGCUUUUCCUCUGCACCCAUCCUUUCCAAACUAGCGCUAUUCUGACUCAGGAAAGUCGGGGUGGAGCCUGUGAAAACAGUUGUUCGUUCCUACAUCUGUAUCUCCAAGCGUGAAACAAGUAUUCACAGGACUCCCCACUUUUAGAGCCGCCUGUGGAUCUUGCCUGCCGCCACGUGCCCUAUUUGGGUAGGAAAGGCGCGGGGUCUCCUAAGGAAGGCCUCCUCCCCCUGUUUCUUCGUGUGUGCAAGGGCCCUUCCCAACCUCUGCAGAGCCAGAGCGCUCCAUGGUCUGUCCAGGACGCCAGGCUCCGGGCUCCACACGGUUCCUGUCAGAGCCUCAGACUUUUCCCUAAAGUUGCUGAGGAAGAGAAGCUGCCUCUUCCCUGUUGCUGCUGGGGAGAAUGCAGAUGAGAAACUGGAAGAACCCACUGCGCCCAGGAGACUGGUGUCUUACCUCGUCUUAGAGUACUUAGAGCAAGGCUCUGAAACAGUGCUGGUGAACCCAUGGCACACGUGCGCAGUAGGCUGUUUGAUAUUACUGAAAGCUCUAAAAGGUUUUCCAGCGCUGCUCUAAAACCAACGCUGCCCCUGCCCUGCUGAAAUACAGACUCCUCCAUCCACCAGCUGUGUGCCUGGGCCUCAGUUUCUUCAUCUGUAGAAGAGAAGUGAUUGUGGCAUCCAUCCCCUGUAAUUGCUGCCGAGGUCAUGUGAAGCCUGACAAAGAGAAUAUUACCAGGCAUGGAUGCUGUCAUGAUAUCAGACUGCUACAAUAACUGUUUUAAAAUGCUGAGGAAGAAGACAUUUUCAGGACUCUCUGGUGAGCUUUCUCUUGGAAGAAAGGAGUGGAUGCCCAGAGCAAGCAGGAUAUGGAAGAUGGAAGAUGGAAGAUGGAAGAUUCUGGAAGAUGCAGGUUAACAGCUGGAAGAAACAUUUGGAAAAGAGUCUGCAAUGGGAGAGCUGUAUAUUGUAGAAAACUUAUCACUGUGCCAUCAGAUAAAGCAAAUCUCUUUAAAAAUCAUUUUUACUAUAGCUAUUAAAAUCUAACAUCUAUUACAAUUUCUAUCAGACAGGUAUCUGCGGUUAUCAGGAUAUUGUGUUCCUCUGAGGUGGAGUAUGGCCAUCGUCACAUGGAAGUGGUCUUUAUUUCAGAGUAAAAAUAACUGGUUUUCAGUUCUCUGAGGUUCUCAAUACGUAGAGGGCAGGGAAACCAAAUUAUUCUUCAUUGAUCCCAUGUUAACUAGCACAUAAGCCCAAUAAUGGGGAGAAAUGUGGAAAAUUUUCUUUUUAUGAGAGACAUGCCUAUAGUGGAGAUCCAUUUUUAGAGUAAAAAUUAAAUUAUUAUAUGCAAGGAAACAAAAAAAGAGUGAAUGAUGUAUUAUUUAGAAUUUUAGCUUGAAGAGCAAUUUGGAUAAAAGGGACAACAGACACAAUAGGGGAGGAAAGAUAGUAGGGAACUGUUUCUUUAGGAAAAAUAACAGAGAAGAAAUUCAAAACAGGUCGUUUGGAUUCAUGCCCUUACGUUCAGUUCACAGGCACACUUAAUAAAUAAAUGCAAACUGUUAUAAUUAACAUGACAAAAGAAGAUGUUUCUAAUGAUGCUAUAAUUAUUAGAAGAAACUCCUUGUUUAACGAUUCAUUCCUCUCAUAGGAGAGAUCGGGUGUAUGUAAAUUUUCCAAAGUAAGCUAUUCAGCCCUCUCAUAUCUGUGUCUCACCCGUAUCUUACAAUAAUAAAUAUAUAGUUCAUAUUUACUGGAGACAUUAGGCCCAUGAAGCAGAGAGGGACAAGUAGCCCUUGAAAGAAAACAAAAGGACAAAGAAGUUCAUGCUAGUUAUAUGAUCACUACUAAGCAUAUCAUUGUCGCAGGUCAUAUGUUCUACAAGUUGCCACGGAAGUGUUCAGUCUUCUUUCUACUCUUUCAGAACCUUACCAUCCUCUCACCAGAGAACUGGAGUUUAUCUCCCUUCCCCUUGUAACUGAAGGCUGUGUGUAGGGUUGCAACGCAUAGAAUGCAGCAGAAGAGAUUGAGUGACCUCGGAGACUCAGUUAUAAAAGAUCACAUGGCUGUCACCCAGCUCUUUCUCCUGGAUGGUCACCAUUGCUCCCAGCCUCCAUGUUGUGAGGAAGCCCAGCUCACAGUGAGGUUGCAUGUCAACAGUCCCGGCUAUGGUGUUACACAGAGAUAAAGAACUAGAAAAGCUAAUUUGGCCAAGCAGGAGAGAAAUGACAUCUCCCAAUAUGGACUACAACUGUAGAACAGUUGAGAAUAGCAGUGUGUAGAGCACAAGGAGUUUAUUUUAGGUAAGCUGUUGUUUCAGCACAAUACUUACAUCACAGUGGGGACAUAGCACAACUUCAUUUAAUUACAUGGAAACCACAUACUGAUGAAACCAGGUAUCUCGACUUUCUGUGUUUCACUCCAACAAGAAGAUUAAAGAGUCAGUACAAGUAAAGGGGACCUCUGUUACCUAAUCUCUCACAAAUUCUUUCUCCUGUGCUUUCGGUGAUAGCACGCUAUCAUUAUUUCUCUGCAGUUAACGAACUACUAUAUCAUGUGCUUGAUUGAGCUGCCGCUGAGGUUCUUUAGCUGCUUGUUGCAUGGGAAAGGUAAGGAUUGUGUCUGGCUGAGAACAGGAUGCGUCUUCCCCAGAGUGGCAGAGUUAGCACAAGAAUGGAGAAGUCAAGCAAGGGGAGCCAAGCAGCAUCUUCCCAGAGAUGGAUAAAGAGGGGUGCACCUCUUGCUCUACUUAUUCUUUAGCUGUAAGGACACCAGCAGCCAGUUCCUCCUGGAAAAAGUCUGGACUCAUAGAGCCAGGCCAUGGAAUGAGAGGCUCCAUCCAGAGCGAUGGCCCACAAGACCCCAUGGCCAGUCGUGCCCCAUGCUACUUGUGUCCCCUGUUUUCUAGCUAGGGAUCCAAAAACUGCCUUUUUUGGCUACUUGUCAGCAAUAAGCCCUAAAUGGUAUUUAUGGAAACCGUUCAGCCAAUAUGAAUCAUUUUGAGACAUGCACAUAACAGGAACACAAACGCAUGGUUAUCACAAUGUUCUCUUGAGAGGCAAAACGCUCAGGAAAAUACAGCGGGAAAUUAGGCAACUCAGAUCAAAUCACAGCAACUGUUCCAGAACAGCACCUAAAAAGGGAGAUAACUCAGAAACAUUAGAAAAUUCUAAAUGAAAGGAAUUCUAACAUAAAAUCACAAACACAAAGAACCUCAGUAUUACACAAAAGACCUAAAAAGAAAAAAGACAGGAAGGAAGGAAUGAAAGGAAGUGAAAGAAAAGAAAAGAAAGUCAUUUCUAUUCCUUGAUAAUAAACUUGUUGCCAUCUGUUUCACAGUAACACGAUGGUUUCAUUUCCUCCAAAUGAAGCAAAUAUUGGAUAUCAAAAAUUGAGUUGCAAAAAUAAUUGUUUUAAAGGAAAUAAAAGAGGUUAGGCCCUAAACAGUGAUGGAUGGCCCAAAGUAACAUUUUUUUUCCUUGCAGAUAUUUUAAUGAUAAAUGGAUUCUCUAGUCAGAAGUACAUUUUGUACUAAAAGAGGGAAUAAGAGGAAUUUACCCAGAAAGUUGUAUGAACAGCCACGGGUUGUCUUGGGCUAUUGUAAUUCAAGAGUUUGUGAGAAUUCAAAAGGUGCCAAGGCUGAUGCAAAUCAUACCAAAGUUAUAGGAAUGGCCUUUUUAUUUGCAUCCCGAGCAAGGACAGUAAAAAAGGGACCAGUCCAUUUCACGGAUCAGAACGUAGAAAACUAAGUGGUGUGAAGUGGGUGCGGUUCUAGUUCGCUGGCAUCUUCUAUCAACGAGAAUGACUUCCACCCUGGGAAAGGUGGAAUAGAUAGGGCUGUCGGAGUGGAAACCUGAGGUGGAUUGGUAGGUAGUAGAGUGCCAAGGUGCUGAGGAGAGAAGCUCUUGCCUCUGAGUCCAGAGCCUGGUGCCCUGUGUCAUCACCUCUGUGGUCCCCAGCUCAGGGGAAACCGGCAGCACUGGCCAAGGAGGGGCCGGGCAGCUCAGGGAUGCAGUGGGUGCUGCAUAUGUGGAGGGCCUGGGUUUGAGUCUAAGCAACCCCUCCCCAAGAAAGGUCAUUAAAAGUCACUCAAAUUUGUUUUAAAGUAGUAAACUUAGAUGCUAGGAAACUAGACUUUUAUGUAUUUAAAAAUUGUAGGACUUAGUAUUAAAUUAGUUUAACAAACAUUUAGUCAAAAGCCAAACCAAAAGUAAACAAUGAUUGCUAGACGCAGAAGUGCACACCUAAAUUCCCAUCACUUUAGAAGGCUGAGGCAGGAGGAUUUUAAAUUCAAUUCCUACCUGGGCCACCUCCUGAUACUACGUCUCAAAAAAUAAAAUAAAACACUAAAAUGAAAGAAGGCUAUGGAUGUGAACGCCCUGCGUUCAAUUCCCAUUACAAGAAAACAAAAACAAAAACAACAAGAAUAACAAAAGACAAAAAUAGAAAACAAACCACCGAUGAUCCUGUAGAGAUAGCAGAGGUUCAUCAACAAUACACUAUGAACCCUAGAGCACUUUGUUUUCACAAAAUAUUGUAGCAAAGGAACAACAAUAUAGAGCCGUUCUUACGGGUUUCAUUGUUACAGUGUACGCAAAUACACCAGCCCGAUUACCCUACAGGUGGCAACACACAAAGUCGUUCAUGUAAACAGGCCUGAAACUACGAAAAGCCGUGCAGAUGGAUGAGGUAGUAGAAUAUAAUGAAGACAAAAUAGACUCUGGAGCUAAAUGGCCUGGUUUUGCUAGCUCCCGUCUGACUUGGGGGCCAACCACCUAACUUCCCGCACCUUUAGAUGGAGAGUAGUAGCGCUGUUGGUGACUAAAUGUAAAGAACUUGGAUCAGGUCUGGCACAAAGUCAGAACAGCUAGCACUAAAGGGAUGCUAACUUUUUGUCACUGUCAUUAUUUCUCAAAUUAGAACAAAGUGGGAAAACAAACUAGGGAACCAUGAAUAUGCAUAUUUGUUCAGACCGACAAAACAGAAACAAGUAAGUAUACCAAUUAUUAAGCUGAUAUCAGGAUCAUUUACUCUUUUUCUUCUUUUUCAAUUGUUAUUUUUAUUAGCACAUAUUUGCAGUACACAUUGAUCAACGCCUUGCGGGGAGCUGGCCCAGGUACCUAACACAUCCGCAUUCAUUUUUCAUCCUCUUCUCUCCCCUUCCUCCAUGUCUUGGUCUCCUUCCCAUUUGCAAAAGAUCUAUCUCCCUAUUUUCCAUUAUCUGUCUUUUAUUUGCCUCUUUAUUUAUACCUAAGGCUUCUCAUAUAAGAGAAACCCUUAAUAUUUAAGCUUGUGUGUCUGAUUUUACUUGACAUGACGGUCCCCACGCGCAUGCAUUUUCUACAAGUGACUCAUGUUUCUCAAAUGAAUGUUACCUGAAAACCUAAUGUGUGCCAUCCCCAGAGAAAGCAUGAGAGACACAGGGAUGGAGACAGCAAGUCUUUGAAGGCUCUAGCACUGGGACAAGCAGGAACUGCUCCUUUCCAGGUUUGGAGCACUGGCCUCUGCACUACAUACAGCAUGCUUUGAGAGGCUUGGAUGGAACACAGGCUUUGAUAUAGCAUGGUUUCUCUUAUAUGAGAAACUCAAAAUAUAAAUAUAUGAAAGAGAAGAAUAAAAGGUGGAUGAUAGAAACAGGGAGAUAGAUCUUUUGCAAAUGGGAGGAAGACCAAGAGAUGGUGCAGGGGGAGAAAGUGGAAGGGGAAGCAAUGAAGAUGUGUGUGUACAUCACUGACUCCUCACAAGGGAUGUAACCAUUAUGUACCGCAAACAUGAGCAGUAAAGAGAAUAAAAAACUCAUUGCAAGAGUGGAAUCGAAAUGUGCAUGGUAGUAAAUCAGAAAAGAAAAAUAUUUGGACAAAAGGAGCCAAAGGUCUAACCAAAAGAAGAUAAACUUUUAGUGAGGAUAAAGCCAAAUAGUGUUUUUAUUUGCAAGUGUAAUUUUAUUUUAAAAUAAUGUAUAUUGAUAUAGAUGGAUUAGAAAUUGAAAAUUUCACCUUUAAUCCUAACAUAUCUAUAGUCUUUAUACCAUUUGUAUAAAUAUGAAUACCUUCAUAAUUAUAUGCGUAUUUUAUGUACAAAAGGAUAUGAAAAGUGAAUCUAUUUAACUUAACACUGAAUUAUGAUGCUAUUCUAUUCUGUAGCACACUUAGUUCCUGUGAAAAUGUGUAUGUAUCACAUCAUGAGAUAUCUCUGGAUAUGAAGUGCAGUGGUACGUAACACAAAUUCUUUACAAUCCCAGAGCAGCUUCUGAUUGUUUGGGGCUGACUUCCUUUUCCCUUUCUUCCUGGGCACACAGCAAGACUACAUUUUUUGCUUCCCUUGCAGCUAGGAACAAUUUGGUGACUAAGUUACAGCCAAGAGGAAAUGAACAAAAGAGAUGGGAGAGUCCUGAUGCGAUUUUCCAUGCUCUUUACUUUUCCACCAGGGAGUAACUUUGAAAGUUGCAAGUUAAAGAUGAUACAGCUAUAAUUAGGAAAGACCAGACUUGCACCAUAGUUAGAGAAGAGGUGUCACAGGACUCAGAGAUAAACAGUUUCCCUUUUCCACCCGUCAUUUUUUGGUUUACUUGUUACUGCAACUAGCACUAGUUCAAAAAAACCCAGAUACUGAAAACUUUAAAUUGUGCCCACUUGAUAGCUGCUGUCUAGUAUCUCUUCAGUUGGAAUGUCUUUGAGGGUCAGCUUUGACAUGAUAAAAGACAGAAGAGAUUUGGCUGACUGAUAGUGGGACAUGAACCUAUCGCUGGAUUGACUUGGAGUGGGCUGGGAGAUGAUGCUCAGGACGGGGCAGCAAGUCAUCCUGCAGUCAGACCAGCUGGGACUGCACAUCCAGAUCACAGGCCUCAGGAAGGACAGCUGGCCACUGCAGCUCAGUGGAGAGGACGGGACCUUGUCCUGGGCUACGGACACCAUGGGGACUGAGGGCUGCACAGCAAGAACGGUACACGCCUCUCUUGAGAGGGUUACACUAGUCACGAACUCAACACGAAGCACAGCUAGGCUACCUUCAUAGCAGGCAGUAUAACUCCAAACUGAAGAGAAGAGAAACCACGCCUUAUGGAACGGAUUGUAUCACCUUGUAAAUAUUUUCAGUUGGCGUCUUUCGCCACAUGAAACAAACAGGAAGUUCCAUGCAAACACUCAUGAGCACACCCCGUCAUACCUGCUAUAGCGUCUAUUGGAAGAAACUGACUUCUCAAGGAUAAAGCUAAUAAUGAAAGGUAACAUUCAUGAAGUGCUUAGAUUGUACUACAUCCCAUUCUAAUUGCUUUUUUGUUUUAGAGUCAAUAUUUAUUCUAUUCUCUUUAAAACUUUUAUUUCUUAUCAGUAUAUGUUUGCAGCCCAUAAAGAUUACACUCAUCAUGGAGAGUUGGUGCGUGCAUGUAACACAUCUCAGUUCUUUUUCUGUUCUGUCUCACCCCCACCAUCACUAUUUACAAAAGACCUAUCUCCUUGUUUCCUGUUUUUGGUCUUCUAUUUUUCUCUUCAAAUUAUUUGUACUUUUGAUUUCUAAUAAAAGAGAAACCAUCUGAUAUUUAAGCUGUAUUUAUUUCAUCUAACAUUAUGGUCUCAAAGUGCAUACAUUUUCCUACAAAUGACUCAAGUGUAUUCUUCUUUAUGAUAGAGUAAAACUGCAUUGUGUGUGAAUACCACAUUUUCUUUAUCCAUUCAUCUGCUGAUGGACAUAUGGGCUACUCCCAAGACUUACC
rnacentral:lncRNA from 1 species